rnacentral:rRNA from 1 species
GCUGGCGGCAGGCUUACACAUGCAAGUCGAGCGGGCGUAGCAAUACGUCAGCGGCAGACGGGUGAGUAACGCGUGGGAACGUACCUUUUGGUUCGGAACAACACAGGGAAACUUGUGCUAAUACCGGAUAAGCCCUUACGGGGAAAGAUUUAUCGCCGAAAGAUCGGCCCGCGUCUGAUUAGCUAGUUGGUGAGGUAACGGCUCACCAAGGCGACGAUCAGUAGCUGGUCUGAGAGGAUGAUCAGCCACAUUGGGACUGAGACACGGCCCAAACUCCUACGGGAGGCAGCAGUGGGGAAUAUUGGACAAUGGGGGCAACCCUGAUCCAGCCAUGCCGCGUGAGUGAUGAAGGCCCUAGGGUUGUAAAGCUCUUUUGUGCGGGAAGAUAAUGACGGUACCGCAAGAAUAAGCCCCGGCUAACUUCGUGCCAGCAGCCGCGGUAAUCGAAGGGGGCUAGCGUUGCUCGGAAUCACUGGGCGUAAAGGGUGCGUAGGCGGGUCUUUAAGUCAGAGGUGAAAUCCUGGAGCUCAACUCCAGAACUGCCUUUGAUACUGAGGGAUCUUGAGUUCAGGAAAAGGUGAGUGGAACUUGCAA